AUGGUGGAGGAACCGUCCGCCAAGCGUCAUCAUGGCGAGACGUCGACCAAGAGCAGCAACCUCGUCAACGUUCACGUCCCCGGCGAGAAGUGCGAGUACACCAAAACCCUCACAGGGCUUGAGCUCCACGGCAAGAAGACACUGGAGAUCAUCUGCACCAGCGAACCAGACAAGGCCGACGAGAUGAUCUCCAGGCUCUGGAGGAAAGCUGGUGGCUCGCAUCAUAAGAUCAUCAGCCUUGGUGUGCACUACACCAAGGAAGACGAACCUACCAAGAUGAUAGCAGUCUUGCAGUUGUGCGUGGAGGAACUAUGCCUGGUGUACCACAUCACAGCGGCCACGAAAUGGUGA
rnacentral:rRNA from 1 species